AUUGAACGCUGGCGGCAGGCCUAACACAUGCAAGUCGAGCGAGCGGCGGACGGGUGAGUAAUGUCUGGGAAACUGCCUGAUGGAGGGGGAUAACUACUGGAAACGGUAGCUAAUAACGCAUACCAUCAGAUGUGCCCAGAUGGGAUUAGAUAGUAGGUGGGGUAACGGCUCACCUAGGCGACGAUCCCUAGCGGGGCUGAGAGGAUGGCCAGACACACUGGAACGUUGACACGGUCCAGACUCCUACUCGAUGCAGCAGUGGGGAAGAGUGCACAAUGGGCGCAGGCCUGAUGCAGCCAUGCCGCGUGGGUGAAGGAGGGAUGCGGGUUGUAAAGCACUUUCAGUGGGGAGGCGUUACCCGCAGAAGAAGCACCGGCUAACUCCGUGCCAGCAGCCGCGGUAAUAC
rnacentral:rRNA from 1 species